AGAGUUUGAUCCUGGCUCAGGAUGAACGCUGGCGGCGUGCCUAAUACAUGCAAGUCGAGCGAACGGACGAGAAGCUUGCUUCUCUGAUGUUAGCGGCGGACGGGUGAGUAACACGUGGAUAACCUACCUAUAAGACUGGGAUAACUUCGGGAAACCGGAGCUAAUACCGGAUAAUAUUUUGAACCGCAUGGUUCAAAAGUGAAAGACGGUCUUGCUGUCACUUAUAGAUGGAUCCGCGCUGCAUUAGCUAGUUGGUAAGGUAACGGCUUACCAAGGCAACGAUGCAUAGCCGACCUGAGAGGGUGAUCGGCCACACUGGAACUGAGACACGGUCCAGACUCCUACGGGAGGCAGCAGUAGGGAAUCUUCCGCAAUGGGCGAAAGCCUGACGGAGCAACGCCGCGUGAGUGAUGGAGGUCUUCGGAUCGUAAAACUCUGUUAUUAGGGAAGAACAUAUGUGUAAGUAACUGUGCACAUCUUGACGGUACCUAAUCAGAAAGCCACGGCUAACUACGUGCCAGCAGCCGCGGUAAUACGUAGGUGGCAAGCGUUAUCCGGAAUUAUUGGGCGUAAAGCGCGCGUAGGCGGUUUUUUAAGUCUGAUGUGAAAGCCCACGGCUCAACCGUGGAGGGUCAUUGGAAACUGGAAAACUUGAGUGCAGAAGAGGAAAGUGGAAUUCCAUGUGUAGCGGUGAAAUGCGCAGAGAUAUGGAGGAACACCAGUGGCGAAGGCGACUUUCUGGUCUGUAACUGACGCUGAUGUGCGAAAGCGUGGGG
rnacentral:rRNA from 1 species